GACGAACGCUGGCGGCGUGCUUAACACAUGCAAGUCGAACGGAAAGGCCCUGCGUUUGUGGGGUGCUCGAGUGGCGAACGGGUGAGUAACACGUGAGUAACCUGCCCUUGACUUUGGGAUGACUUCAGGAAACUGGGGCUAAUACCGGAUAGGAGCUCCUGUUGCAUGGUGGGGGUUGGAAAGUUUCGGCGGUUGGGGAUGGACUCGCGGCUUAUCAGCUUGUUGGUGGGGUAGUGGCUGACCAAGGCUUUGACGGGUAGGCGGCCUGAGAGGGUGACCGGCCACAUUGGGACUGAGAUACGGCCCAGACUCCUACGGGAGGCAGCAGUGGGGAAUAUUGCACAAUGGGCGGAAGCCUGAUGCAGCAACGCCGCGUGCGGGAUGACGGCCUUCGGGUUGUAAACCGCUUUCGCCUGUGACGAAGCGUGAGUGACGGUAAUGGGUAAAGAAGCACCGGCUAACUACGUG
rnacentral:rRNA from 1 species